rnacentral:lncRNA from 1 species
ACAUUAUCCUUUGAGACCAUUUCAAAUUCUGCUCGUUCUUCAAAACUGAUUGAGGAAGGUGCGAAAUAAACCACCUAGACAACAAAGGUAUGCAGCACAUGAGAGUCCCUUGCUUCUUCAUGGUACGAGUGUGGAGGGAAUGCAAAAUGUCUCCCAGCAAGGUAGGUACAGGAUUGUGAGUGAGAAAUAUCUUAAUAGCAUUCAUGUCUAUGAAUUGGUUUGGAUUAGGGAAUAACACCAAGCCAUAGAUUAGCAACGCCAGGAUGUCUU